rnacentral:rRNA from 1 species
UAGGGAUCGAGGGAAAUUAGUACCGAAGUCCGGGAUGGAAGAUGGCGAGAAAAGCUGUGUGUAUUUCUGCGGUGCCCGUACCGCAAACCGACACAGGUAGGUAGGAAGAAGAUUCUAAGGCCAACGGGAGAAGGGUUGUUAAGGAACUCGGCAAAUUGACCCCGUAACUUCGGGAGAAGGGGUGCUCUAGAGAUAGAGCCGCAGAGAAUCGGCCCAAGCAACUGUUUACCAAAAACACAGGUUUGUGCUAAAUCGAAAGAUGACGUAUACGAGCUGACGCCUGCCCGGUGCUGGAAGGUUAAGAGGAGAUGUGCAAGCAUUGAAUCGAAGCCCCAGUGAACGGCGGCCGUAACGAUAACGGUCCUAAGGUAGCGAAAUUCCUUGUCAGGUAAGUUCUGACCCGCAUGAAAGGCGUAAUGAUUUGGGCACUGUCUCGACAGCCCGCCCGGCGAAAUUGUAGUACCGGUGAAGAUGCCGGUUACCCGCGACAAGACGGAAAGACCCCAUGGAGCUUUACUGUAGCCUAAUAUUGGGUUUCGAUGUUGCAUGCACAGGAUAGAUGGGACACUGGGAAGCAAGUGCUUUGGCAUUUGUGGAGUGGCCGUUGGGAUACCAUCCUUGCGAUAUUGGAAUUCUAACCUGCGCCUUUGAAUCAAGGCGGGGGACAUUGUUAGGUGGGCAGUUUGACUGGGGCGGUCGCCUCCUAAAGAGUAACGGAGGCGUUCAAAGGUUCGCUCAGCUUGAACGGAAAUCAAGCAAAAGAGUGCAAACGCAGAAGCGAGCCUAACUGCGAGACUGACGGGUCGAGCAGUAACGAAAGUUGGAGUUAGUGAUCCGGUGGUAUGUGAGUGGAAAUGCCAUCGCUCAACGGAUAAAAGUUACCCUGGGGAUAACAGGCUGAUCUCCCCCAAGAGUCCACAUCGACGGGGAGGUUUGGCACCUCGAUGUCGGCUCAUCGCAUCCUGGGGCUGUAUUCGGUCCCAAGGGUUUGGCUGUUCGCCAAUUAAAGCGGUACGCGAGCUGGGUUCAGAACGUCGUGAGACAGUUCGGUCCCUAUCUGUCGUGGGCGCAGGAUAUUUGAUGGGAGCUGUUCCUAGUACGAGAGGACCGGAGCGGACGUACCUCUGGCGCACCAGUUGUUCUGCCAAGGGCAUAGCUGGGCAACUAUGUACGGAUCGGAUAAACGCUGAAAGCAUCUAAGCGUGAAGCCGACCCAAAGAUAAGAUAUCCCAUUGUUUCAAACAAGUAAGACCCCUUGAAGACUACAAGGUUGAUAGGCAUGAUGUGUAAGUGGAGUGAUCCAUUCAGCAAGCGUGUACUAAUAGGUCGAGGGCUUGACCU